GAUGAACGCUGGCGGCGUGCCUAAUACAUGCAAGUCGAGCGAACGGACGAGAAGCUUGCUUCUCUGAUGUUAGCGGCGGACGGGUGAGUAACACGUGUAUAACCUACCUAUAAGACUGGGAUAACUUCGGGAAACCGGAUCUAAUACCGGAUAAUAUUUUGAACCUCAUUGUUCAAAAGUGAAAGACGGUCGUGCGGUCACUUAUAGAUGGAUCCGCGCUGCAUUAGCUAGUUGGUAAGGUAACGGCUUACCAAGGCAACGAUGCAUAGCCGCCCUGAGAGGGUGAUCGCCAACCCUGGAACUGAGACACGGUCCAGACUCCUACGGGAGGCAGCAGUAGGGAAUCUUCCGCAAUGGGCGAAAGCCUGACGGAGCAACGCCGCGUGAGUGAUGAAGGUCUUCGGAUCGUAAAACUCUGUUAUUAGGGAAGAACAUAUGUGUAAGUAACUGUGCACAUCUUGACGGUACCUAAUCAGAAAGCCACGGCUAACUACGUG
rnacentral:rRNA from 1 species